rnacentral:tRNA from 1 species
GCCUCUAUAGCUCAGUUGGUAGAGCGAAGGUUUCGUAAACCUUAGGUCGUGGGUUCGAGUCCCACUAGAGGCU